rnacentral:ribozyme from 13 species
GAACACAACUUCGGAAACUCUGUUCCUUUUUCGCUCAAAAAUUUCAUUUUUUGUUCCAUCAACCCCAUAAUAACCUCUCCAGCUCUCUUUCCUGUGUUUUGCCCAGGAGAAGGAACACAACAACGAUACAUUUUCUUAUCAAUUGGACUAAAAGAAACAUCCAGUUCUUGUAAUCCUCGACACCACGUCGGCGCUUUUCCAUACCCUUGUGAUUGAGAAACAAGAAGAGAACCAAAAAGGUCUAAUGUCUUUCGAUGUCCCACUUUCUUUGAUACACCAAGGUGGUGGAGAAAGAAAAGACAGAGAUCUAAAACAGAAUGGAGAGUUCUCGAAUUG